UGAGGAAUAUUGGUCAAUGGGCGGUAGCCCGAACCAGCCAAGUCGCGUGAGGGAUGACGGCCCUACGGGUUGUAAACCUCUUUUAUAAGGGAAUAAAGGACAUCACGUGUGGUGUUUUGCAUGUACCUUGUGAAUAAGCAUCGGCUAACUCCGUGCCAGCAGCCGCGGUAAUACGGAGGAUGCGAGCGUUAUCCGGAUUCAUUGGGUUUAAAGGGUGCGUAGGUUGCCGAUUAAGUCAGCGGUGAAAGUCAGUGGCUCAACCAUUGAAUUGCCGUUGAAACUGGUUGGCUUGAGUACGUACGGGGCAGGCGGAAUGCGUGGUGUAGCGGUGAAAUGCAU
rnacentral:rRNA from 1 species